rnacentral:rRNA from 1 species
GGGAAUCUACCCAUCUCUGCGGAAUAGCUCUGGGAAACUGGAAUUAAUACCGCAUACGCCCUACGGGGGAAAGAUUUAUCGGGGAUGGAUGAGCCCGCGUUGGAUUAGCUAGUUGGUGGGGUAAAGGCCUACCAAGGCGACGAUCCAUAGCUGGUCUGAGAGGAUGAUCAGCCACAUUGGGACUGAGACACGGCCCAAACUCCUACGGGAGGCAGCAGUGGGGAAUAUUGGACAAUGGGCGCAAGCCUGAUCCAGCCAUGCCGCGUGAGUGAUGAAGGCCUUAGGGUUGUAAAGCUCUUUCACCGGAGAAGAUAAUGACGGUAUCCGGAGAAGAAGCCCCGGCUAACUUCGUGCCAGCAGCCGCGGUAAUACGAAGGGGGCUAGCGUUGUUCGGAAUUACUGGGCGUAAAGCGCACGUAGGCGGAUAUUUAAGUCAGGGGUGAAAUCCCAGAGCUCAACUCUGGAACUGCCUUUGAUACUGGGUAUCUUGAGUAUGGAAGAGGUAAGUGGAAUUGCGAGU